UUGUUUCUUACAGGUUCGUACCAAGUUACAUUCUAGGCCAUAUGUAUUUAGCUGUAUAUCGUAUUUCUAGGUCAAAAUGGCGACCUCGCUAAAUUUACUAAUAUCAGCAUAACACCUGUUAUCUAAAGCCAUUGAAAAUGAAUUAUUUUUCAGUAUUAAAUAAAUUUUAAUUUUAAUUUUUCCAUUGAAAUUUAACUUAAAAGUCAUAAAUAUUAACGAUUACGAAACACAAAUUAUCCGGAUUGUUCUUAUAAGAGAAACAAGCCAUAAAAAUCAAACACGAA